GGGAUUGUAGUUUAGCGGUAAAACCAUACUUUUGCAUAGUAUAGACAGAAGUUCGAUUCUUCCCAAUUCCA
rnacentral:tRNA from 1 species